AUAUCUAUUGAACACCUACUAUGUGCCAGGAACACAUAGUAAUACAAAAGACAUGAAGGCUAUGAUCUAGUAAGAGUGUAAUUGGUACAACCUCUGAAGACGGACCUUUCAUCUAGGGAGGAGCUGAAAGCCCUUUGAAGAUGUUAAUAAGAAAGAGACCUGCUAAUUAAGAUUGCUUAAAAAUAAAAACUCAUCUUCCAGUAUGUUUACAUGAUUGCUGGGAAGGUUCUGACUCAAAGAGAUUUGCUAUCACAGCUUCACAGCCUUUCUCCCUGACAGAGCUUCUGGCACUAAGCUGACAGAGGGGACAAAGUCUUCCUUUUUCAAGAGUAAGCAUUUGGCUGGGUUCAGACGGACUCCCUUGGGCAUCUCCCUGGGGCACCUCUCCAAGGCCUUGCUUUCUAAACUUGGUUAUACUAAUGGGCUGGGACAGAUUCCCUGGCUGACUCUGGAAGCUGUCAAAAUCUCUCUGGUAAUUUUCCUAGGCUUUUCUGGUCUUUAAUGAGGCAUCAACCUUUUUCAGUUGUAAAUCAGCUUAGAUCAAAAUUCAAGCAGGAGACUUUUCUACCCCUCAGACCCUUUCGAUGUUUGCUUUCUAACUGCUGAGUUCUUGCUUACUUGAAACUCCUGCUCCCCGGGGAUAAUCAGAAAUAGCUACCUGCACUAACUUCUUAAGUCAUCAUUCUCCUGUUUUGAUCAGCAGGAGGGGUGUAAUCUGUUUUCGACAGUUCAUGUAGAUUGGCUUGCUGCCAGCAUGAUUCUCUCAACUGAAGGAAAACUCAACAGUCUCUAAAAUGGAAGGGCAAGAGGGAAUUUGUGUGAAUGAUGUAAGUUAAUCCCAUUUCCUGGGAUCUGGCCUGGCCCAUUUUUAGUGGGGCUGGUUUAGGGUUAGUUUGUGAUUACAUAAACUCAUCAACAUUCCGGAAGAGGAAAGAACACCCCCUGGUGGUAAAAUUAUAUCUCUGCACCACAUCCCCUAAAUUUCAACUCCCAGCCAAGUUACCUACUUACACUUGUACCAGGGUACACAGGAGCAUUCUUGGUCACAGAAGUCUGUAUAAACUAACUCAGUUUUAUUCCUGCAUUACAUACAGAGAAACAAGCAUUAGAAUUUCCAAUAUUC
rnacentral:lncRNA from 1 species